rnacentral:rRNA from 1 species
AGCAGCCGCGGUAAUUCCAGCUCCAAUAGCGUAUAUUAAAGUUGUUGCAGUUAAAAAGCUCAUAGUUGAAUUUCGGGAUCAAUAUAUCGGUCGUGCCUUGGUACGUACUGGUAUCAUUGGUUUCUCCUUUCUGACGAACCAUGAUGUCAUUAAUUUGGUGUUAUGGGAAGUUAGGACUGUUACUUUGAAAAAAUUAGAGUGUUUAAAGCAGGCUUUAGCUUGAAUACAUUAGCAUGGAAUAAUGAAAUAGGACGUUCGAACCUAUUUUGUUGGUUUCUAGGAUCAACGUAAUGAUUAAUAGGGAUAGUUGGGGGCAUUAGUAUUCAAUUGUCAGAGGUGAAAUUCUUGGAUUUAUUGAAGACUAACUACUGCGAAAGCAUUUGCCAAGGAUGUUUUCAUUAAUCAAGAACGAAAGUUAGGGGAUCGAAGACGAUCAGAUACCGUCGUAGUCUUAACCAUAAACUAUGCCGACUAGGGAUCGGAUGAUGUUAAUUUUUUAAUGACUCAUUCGGCGCCUUACG